GACGAACGCUGGCGGCGUGCUUAACACAUGCAAGUCGAACGGAAGGGCCCUGCUUUUGUGGGGUGCUCGAGUGGCGAACGGGUGAGUAACACGUGAGUAACCUGCCCUUGACUUUAGGAUAACUUCAGGAAACUGGGGCUAAUACCGGAUAGGAGCUCCUGCUGCAUGGUGGGGGUUGGAAAGUUUCGGCGGUUGGGGAUGGACUCGCGGCUUAUCAGCUUGUUGGUGGGGUAGUGGCUUACCAAGGCUUUGACGGGUAGCCGGCCUGAGAGGGUGACCGGCCACAUUGGGACUGAGAUACGGCCCAGACUCCUACGGGAGGCAGCAGUGGGGAAUAUUGCACAAUGGGCGGAAGCCUGAUGCAGCAACGCCGCGUGCGGGAUGACGGCCUUCGGGUUGUAAACCGCUUUCGCCUGUGACGAAGCGUGAGUGACGGUAAUGGGUGAAGAAGCACCGGCUAACUACGUG
rnacentral:rRNA from 1 species